rnacentral:lncRNA from 1 species
ACUUGCUAGUCUCCUGUGAAAGUCGAUAUCUCUGCCCUGUUGUGGAUAGACCUGCUAGUCUCCUGUGAAGGUGGAUAUCUCUGCCCUGUUGUGGACAGACCUGCUAGUCUCCUGUGAAGGUGGAUAUCUCUGCCCUGUUGUGGACCCAGACCCGCUAGUCUCCUGUGAAGGUGGAUAUCUCUGCCCUGUUGUGGACAGACCUGCUAGUCUCCUGUGAAGGUGGAUAUCUCUGCCCUGUUGUGGACCCAGACCUGUAAUGAACACCAAUGUUACUGCUAACUGUCAGAUCUUAUCUACACACCCACACAGCCGGUAGGGUUAAAUUAACCCAUACAUAACACCCUGCUGAGAGAGAGGGAGAGAGAGGGAUGGAGAGAGAGGUAGAGAGGAGAAAGAGAGAGAUGGAGGGAGAGAGGAGAGAGAGGGAGAGCGGGAGAGAAAGAGAAAGAGAGAGAGCUAGAGGGAGAGAGAGCUGGAGGAAUAGAGGGAGAGAGGGAGAGAGAGAA